rnacentral:rRNA from 1 species
AUUGAACGCUGGCGGCAGGCCUAACACAUGCAAGUCGAACGAGUGGCGGACGGGUGAGUAAUGUCUGGGAAACUGCCAGAUGGAGGGGGAUAACUACUGGAAACGGUAUCUAAUCCCGCAUACCAUCGGAUGUGCCGAGAUGGGAUUCGCUAGUAGGUGGGGUAAAGUCACCCCUAGGCGACGCUCCCUAGCUGGUCUGAGAGGAUGACCAGCAACACUGGAACUGAGACACGGUCCAGACUCCUACGGGAGGCAGCAGUGGGGAAUAUUGCACAAUGGGCGCAAGCCUGAUGCAGCCAGGCCGCGUGUAUGAAGAAGGCCUUCGGGUUGUAAAGUACUUUCAGCGGGGAGGCGUUACCCGCAGAAGAAGCACCGGCUAACUCCGUGCCAGCAGCCGCGGUAAUUC